UACGGGGGGGGCAAGCGUUGUUCGGAAUUACUGGGCGUAAAGGGCUCGUAGGUGGCCAACUAAGUCGGCGGUGAAAUCCCACGGCUCAACCGUGGACAAGCCUUCGAAACUGUGAAGCUUGAGGCUGGGAGAGGAAAUCGGAAUUCCUGGUGUAGCGGUGAAAUGCGUAGAUAUCAGGAGGAACACCGGUGGCGAAGGCGGAUUUCUGGACCAGUUCUGACACUGAUGAGCGAAAGCCAGGGGAGCAAACAGG
rnacentral:rRNA from 1 species